GUGAGGAAUAUUGGUCAAUGGACGAGAGUCUGAACCAGCCAAGUCGCGUGAAGGAAGACGGUUCUAUGAAUUGUAAACUUCUUUUGUGCAGGAAUAAAGUGGGUUACGUGUAACCUUUUGUAUGUACUGUACGAAUAAGGAUCGGCUAACUCCGUGCCAGCAGCCGCGGUAAUACGGAGGAUCCGAGCGUUAUCCGGAUUUAUUGGGUUUAAAGUGUGCGUAGGUAGAUUGAUAAGUCAGCGGUGAAAGUUUGCAGCUUAACUGUAAAAUUGCCGUUGAAACUGUCGGUCUUGAGUGCAAAUGAGGUAGGCUGAAUGUGUUGUGUAGCGGUGAAAUGCUUAGAUAUAACACAGAACUCCGAUUGCGAAGGCAGCUUACUGGGAUGCAACUGACACUGAUGCACGAAAGCGUGGGUAUCAAACAGGAUUAGAUACCCCGGUAGUCC
rnacentral:rRNA from 1 species